UAAAGGAGUCGGCCAAAAGCCUUGUGAUGAGCUUGAAGUUUCUCUUUGUUGAAGUUUCUUACAAUCCCCAAUACUUUCACAGAGGAUGAGGAUCUGCUGACAAAGUGAGGAGCCAAUGAUGUCCGGAUGUCAGACUCUGCAGAGAAGAUGGAGCUGGAGGAAGACCUGGUCUCUGGACGAGAUGAAGAAGAAAAGAUUACAGAGAAGCUAUCACUUAAGUCAGAAGACGUCACUCAGGUCAUGUUACAUUUUAACAGAGGACCCCUCAUUUGACAGCAGCUUCAUAAGUCUUGCAUCCAUUGAAUU